AUGUGCUCGCUGCAGGAUGACAACCACAACACUCCAGAACCACCCCCCUCCAAGGAGGCGGGGUUACGCCAUCAGCCAAUCGGAGCCCGCGAUCCCGGGUGUCCAACCUAUGGGGUGGCCGUGGCCGUGCAGGGGGAGGACAUGGGGUGGUCCGGGAGGGGCCGCGUCCGUGGGAGGAGUGCACGUGUCCAGAGAGGCUGGGAACCCGCUGGCGUCCAGCUGCCGAGGCGCCCGCCCGGUGUCCGAGUCCAGCUGCCCAGUGCCGUCUUGGACUGGGCAAGGCAGGCGAUCGUCCACCGAGGAAGACCUGUCCAUGUGUCCAGUUCCCGGCGAGAGGGACAGACACAAAUAACAACAAUAGUACCUCGCGCAGACCGGGCGGGGAGGAAAGUUUCUGGCCCGCGCCAGAGUGGAGACAGCCAAAGGCAGGGAGAUGCUAUGCAAGACAGGAGGGUGACACAGUGGGAAGAAGGGGGACAACCGGAGGGCUGCGCGGGCAGGACAGGGUCCAGGGUGCGGUCCCCGGGAGGCGAACCGCGCGGGAUGCGCUGUCCAAGGUGCAAGGGAGGCGGUUGGUGCGUGGCAGGCGCGGAGCCCGAGCGGACACUAGCCCGCCAGAGGCAAAAAGAGCGGAGAACAGCUGUGCGGGGCGCCGGACACCCCCAGCUCGUAAAAGUGCGGGAGCCCGGGGAGCGGCGGCGAAGGGCGCAGGGGGCUCCCCCGCACCGCUGCCUUCCAGCCUCACCUCCAGCUCUGCUCCCCUCCCCCCUCGCCCACUCCUCUCGGUGCCUUGUCCCCGGGCCGCGGCGGGGGCGGGACCGGGAGCCCCCCACCCCCGGACUGCGAGUCCCGACGCCCCAGGGAUGCUGCGGGCCGCGGAGCCGCUUACCUGGGGCCACGGUGCGGAGAUUCAAGACAAGCGAGCGCGGGGCGCGGCGCGGCUCCUCCUCGCCUCGGCGUCUCCUCCGGAUCCCGCUUCUGCCGGACUCCGUCCGGGGCUGAGAGCAGCCAGACGGGGCCAGACUGCGGCCGCCGCUCGCGCCGCCGCCGCUGCCGCAGACAGAGGACGCCCCGUGGCGGCUGGAAGCCUGUAUAGGUAAAGAUAUGAAAAAGAACAGUCAGGUGGAGAAGACGCACAUCUUCCCUGUGCCCUCUAUCCAACUCACGCUCCUCCACUCCACCAUCAUACCGUCAGUCUCUA
rnacentral:lncRNA from 1 species